rnacentral:rRNA from 1 species
UAGGGAAUCUUCGGCAAUGGACGAAAGUCUGACCGAGCAACGCCGCGUGAGUGAAGAAGGUUUUCGGAUCGUACAACUCUGUUGGUAGAGAAGAACGUUGGUGAGAGUGGAAAGCUCAUCAAGUGACGGUAACUACCCAGAAAGGGACGGCUAACUACGUGCCAG